GUAGGUGGCAAGCGUUGUCCGGGAAUUAAUGGGGCGUAAAGCGCGCGCAGGCGGUUCUUUAAGUCUGAUGUGAAAGCCCACGGGCUCAACCGUGGAGGGUCAUUGGAAACUGGAGGACUUGAGUACAGAAGAGGGAAGCGGAAUUCCACGUGUAGCGGUGAAAUGCGUAGAGAUGUGGAGGAACACCAGUGGCGAAGGCGGCUUUCUGGUCUGUAACUGACGCUGAGGCGCGAAAGCGUGGGGAGCAAACAGGAUUAGAUACCCUGGUAGUCCACGCCGUAAACGAUGAGUGCUAAGUGUUAGGGGGUUUCCGCCCCUUAGUGCUGCAGCUAACGCAUUAAGCACUCCGCCUGGGGAGUACGGCCGCAAAGGCUG
rnacentral:rRNA from 1 species